AGGUAAUUAGUUUAAAGAAAACCUUUGAUUUCGGCUCAAAAACUUAUGGUUCAAAUCCAUAAUAACCUA
rnacentral:tRNA from 1 species